AUACAAUUGCUCAGUUAAAAGUUAGAAGCUUUUUAAUUUAUUUCUUU
rnacentral:tRNA from 1 species